GCGCUUGCUGUCCACAAGGGGUGCGUCAUACUUACGUACUCCAGCUUCUACAAGGUCAUGAGUAUCAAUCAGAUCAGCUAGUGACUCAAUGAAGAGUCCAAACGACUCCGUAGAUAAAGGACACCCUUGCUUCACGCCUUGCUUAGACUGAAACUCUCCCCCCACUUUAUCAUUUACCUUAAUCACCAUGGACACCUUCUCGUACGCUUUUCUCAGAGCAUCUAGCAUGGGGCCGCUAAUCCCCUUUUCCUGCAACCGAAGCCACAUGUGCUCGCGAGGCACCCAAUGUAAGAAGGGAUCAGCUCCCCUGGCAUCUCCCUGAGUACUCUUCGCCUGGUGUUACAUUGGUGCGAAUUGCUAGGAGAUGGGAACUUCCCGGAUCAAAUUCAGUUGCGAAUAUAUCGCACACCAGGCACGAUGCAGCAUACUCUUCCCCAAAUGUGGAUGCCCGGGUGGGCGAGAAGUCUACCAGCUGUGUAAAAAAGAAGUCCUUCAUCUCGGACUGGGACUGACGAAAUGUCACAGUAGUAACCAAACUCACAAUCCUACGGGAUCUCAAACAACCUAAAUCCUACGGGGUAUGGCCAGGGGCGCCCGAGGACGUUUGCUCGAGGGGGGGAGGAAUAUAAGAAGGGAUCAGCUCCCCUGGCAUCUCCCUGAGUACUCCUUGCCUGGUGUUACACCCUAUCAAAGGCCUUCUCAAAGUCAAUCUGUACUAUUAUCAACGGCGGCUGCCCCGCGAUCCGAUGCCGCCUGACCAGGUGUUGCUUGACAAAGAGGUGAUGAGCGGUGCCAAAACCCCGCCUGAAACCCGCUUGGCAUGGGUGCCGCAGGUCCAGUAUUUCCCCAGCACGUACCAGACGGUUAAGAAUCACUGACGCAUAGCACUUCGCAAGUGCUCCUCCAACUGCAAUGCC
rnacentral:lncRNA from 1 species